AUACGUAGGGUGCAAGCGUUGUCCGGAAUUACUGGGUGUAAAGGGAGUGUAGGCGGGACUGCAAGUCAGGUGUGAAAACUAUGGGCUUAACCCAUAGAUUGCACUUGAAACUGUGGUUCUUGAGUGAAGUAGAGGUUGGCGGAAUUCCUAGUGUAGCGGUGAAAUGCGUAGAUAUUAGGAGGAACAUCAGUGGCGAAGGCGGCCAACUGGGCUUUUACUGACGCUGAGGCUCGAAAGCGUGGGUAGCAAACAGGAUUAGAUACCCUGGUAGUCCACGCUGUAAACGAUGAUUACUAGGUGUGGGGGGACUGACCCCUUCCGUGCCGCAGUUAACACAAUAAGUAAUCCACCUGGGGAGUACGACCGCAAGGUUGAA
rnacentral:rRNA from 1 species